UACGUAGGGUGCGAGCGUUAAUCGGAAUUACUGGGCGUAAAGCGUGCGCAGGCGGUUGGUUAAGUCUGAUGUGAAAGCCCCCGGCUCAACUGGGGAGGGUCACGCGAUACUGAUCGACUGGAAGGCAGGAGAGGGUAGUGGAAUUCCCGGUGUAGUGGUGAAAUGCGUAGAUAUCGGGAGGAACACCAGUGGCGAAGGCGACUACCUGGCCUGUUCUUGACGCUGAGGCGCGAAAGCUAGGGGAGCAAACGGG
rnacentral:rRNA from 1 species